GUCUAUGGCCAUGCCACCCUGAACAAGCCCAAUGUCUGAUCUCGGAAGCUAAGCAGGGUCGGGCCGGGUUAGUACUUGAAUGAGAGACCACCUAGGAACACCAGGUGCUGUAGGCA
rfam:Pteropus alecto contig168838, whole genome shotgun sequence.